ensembl:misc_RNA Metazoa_SRP Metazoan signal recognition particle RNA
GCCAGGUGCAGUGACUCACACCUGUAGUCCCAGCUACUCAGGAGGCUGAGGCUGGAGGAUUGCUUGAGCCCAGGAGUUCAAGGCUGUAGUAUGCCAUGAUCAUGCCUGUGAAUAGCCACUGCACUCCAGCCUGGGCAGCAUAGCAGGACCCUGUCUCUA